GCCUUGGUAGAUCAGUGGUAAGAGUGUGAGAACAUUAACCCCAAGGUGUGAGUUCAAUCCUCACCCUAUGCU
rnacentral:tRNA from 1 species